rnacentral:rRNA from 1 species
UACAGAGGGUGCAAGCGUUUUUCGGAAUUAUUGGGCGUAAAGCGCGUGUAGGCGGCGUGACAAGUCGGGUGUGAAAGCCCUCAGCUCAACUGAGGAAGUGCGCCCGAAACUGUCGUGCUUGAGUGCCGGAGAGGGUGGCGGAAUUCCCCAAGUAGAGGUGAAAUUCGUAGAUAUGGGGAGGAACACCGGUGGCGAAGGCGGCCACCUGGACGGUAACUGACGCUGAGACGCGAAAGCGUGGGGAGCAAACAGG